rnacentral:rRNA from 1 species
AGCGAACGCUGGCGGCAGGCUUAACACAUGCAAGUCGAGCGGGCACCUUCGGGUGUCAGCGGCAGACGGGUGAGUAACACGUGGGAACGUACCCUUUGGUUCGGAACAACUCUGGGAAACUGGAGCUAAUACCGGAUACGCCCUUAUGGGGAAAGGUUUACCGCCGAAGGAUCGGCCCGCGUCUGAUUAGCUAGUUGGUGAGGUAACGGCUCACCAAGGCGACGAUCAGUAGCUGGUCUGAGAGGAUGAUCAGCCACACUGGGACUGAGACACGGCCCAGACUCCUACGGGAGGCAGCAGUGGGGAAUAUUGGACAAUGGGCGCAAGCCUGAUCCAGCCAUGCCGCGUGAGUGAUGAAGGCCUUAGGGUUGUAAAGCUCUUUUGUCCGGGACGAUAAUGACGGUACCGGAAGAAUAAGCCCC